rnacentral:tRNA from 1 species
GGUAGCUCAGUUGGAUAGAGCAACGGCCUUCUAAGCCGUCGGUCGGGGGUUCGAAUCCCUCCC